UCCAGGCCCUACGGGGUGCAGCAGGCGCGAAACCUUUACAAUGCACGCAAGUGUGAUAAGGGGAUCCUAAGUGCUUAUACAUUGUAUAGGCUUUUGUUAAGAGUAAAUAUCUUAGCGAAUAAGUGGUGGGUAAGACUGGUGCCAGCCGCCGCGGUAACACCAGCGCCACGAGUGGCAACCACGUUUAUUGGGCCUAAAGCGUCCGUAGCCGGUUUGGUUAAUCUCUUGUGAAAUCGUCAAGCUCAACUUGACGGCGUGCUUGAGACACUGCCAAACUCGAGACCGGGAGGAGUCAGAGGUAUUCCAGGGGGAGCGGUAAAAUGUGAUAAUCCUUGGAGGACCAUCUAUGGCGAAGGCAUCUGACCAGAACGGAUCUGACGGUGAGGGACGAAGGCUAGGGGAGCGAUCCGGAUUAGAUACCCGAGUAGUCCUAGCAGUAAACGCUGUGAGCAAGAUGUUACAUCUCUCUUGAGGAGGUGUAGUAUCGAAAUGAAGAUGUUAAGCUCACCGCCUGGGAAGUACGGUCGCAAGACUGAAACUUUAAGGAAUUGGCGGGGGCGCACCACCAGGGGUGCGGCGUGCGGUUUAAUCUAACGAUACACAGAGAACCUUACUAGAAGCGACGGCAGGAAGAAGGUCAGUCUGAAGGGCUUACCUGACGAGCCGAGAGGUAGUGCAUGGCCGCCGUCAGCUCGUGCCGUAAGGUGUCCAGUUAAGUCUGGCAACGAGCGAGACCUAUACCCUCUAUUGCUAACAGCUACAUGUAGGACUGAGCACUUUGAGGGGACUGCCUUGGAAACAAGGAGGAAGGUGUAGGCAACGGUAGGUCUGUAUGCUCCGAAUCUUCUAGGCUACACGCGCGCAACAAUGGUAAUGACAAUGGGCUGCGACUCCGAAAGGAGAAGCUAAUCCUUCAAACAUUACCUCAGUUCGGAUCGUGGGUUGUAACUCACCCACGUGACGCUGGAAUCCCUAGUAAACAGACAUCAUCAAUGUUUGUGGAAUAUGUCCCUGCGCCUUGCACACACCGCCCGUC
rnacentral:rRNA from 1 species